UACGUGUGUUUAAAGAAGAAUUUGGGGCGGCAUAUUUUAUAUUGAAAGACCUUAACUACAAGUUACAACACUAAUGACUUAUAAUGCUGCAUAUCAAAGUAGUUUGACCAGCUACCAGCCAUUGGUUUUGGAUCAGCCUGUUUAUGAGCAC